UAUUCUAUGUAUCAUUAAAUUAUCAAAGAGAGAGAGACAGAGAAAGAAAUAUAUAACAUACAUAAUAGAAAGAAAUAGAAAAAUAUUCAUAGGAGAGAGAGAGAGAGAAUAAGGAUAAGUGAGCUACAGUCGCUUCAGUGGUUUUGUAGCCUGCUCGCGCUUCCCGCCAAAAGUGCCGCUAGAGGGCGCGAGGGCUGCAUCAGUGUCAUUCUGAGGUAAAAACUGAGCUCGUUAGCCACUUGCUAAACCGUUUUGCCUUAAAUAUUACUAAAAGUUGAACAGAAACGAUGGAAAAAAUCAGUAAAGGUUUCCUUAUGUAAGGAACCGAACCCCUGCUCCAGAUGGGUGAAACCAGCACAGCCAUUUGAAUAGGUAAUCACCUGAGGUACAGUCUGGCCUUUUGUCACAAACUCAUUUCCGACCUUCACUCUGGGGUAGCACAGAGCUUUCAGCAUGUCAGCAGAGUUCAGGCCCAUAAGUGCCGUCAGGCUCAGCCUGCUCCUCUCUCUGCUUCUGCUUGAACUUCAUGUUUCCGUGAUGCAUCACAGCACCAGUCAGUUUGUAGAUGCUGAUUUUCUCAUCAGCUGUGAA